GCCUGGGUGGCUCAGUCGGUUGAGUGUCCGACUUCGGCUCAGGUCAUGAUCUCGCGGUCCGUGGGUUCGAGCCCCGCAUCAGGCU
rnacentral:tRNA from 1 species